rnacentral:tRNA from 1 species
GCCUCUGUAGCUUAACUGGUAGAGCGGUGGACUGAUAAUCCAUUGGAAUUGGUUCGAGUCCAGUCGGAGGUA